rnacentral:rRNA from 1 species
CACCACUUUGUGGUUCAUGACUGGGGUGAAGUCGUAACAAGGUAGCGCUAGGGGAACCUGGCGCUGGAUCACCUCCUUAUACGAUGAU